rnacentral:rRNA from 1 species
GGGGAAUAUUGCACAAUGGGCGAAAGCCUGAUGCAGCAACGCCGCGUGAGUGAUGAAGGCCUUCGGGUUGUAAAGCUCCGUCUUCUGGGACGAUAAUGACGGUACCAGAGGAGGAAGCCACGGCUAACUACGUGCCAGCAGCCGCGGUAAUACGUAGGUGGCAAGCGUUGUCCGGAUUUACUGGGCGUAAAGGAUGCGUAGGCGGAUACUUAAGUCAGAUGUGAAAAUCCCGGGCUUAACUUGGGAACUGCAUUUGAAACUGGGUAUCUAGAGUGCGGGAGAGGAAAGUGGAAUUCCUAGUGUAGCGGUGAAAUGCGUAGAGAUUAGGAAGAACACCAGUGGCGAAGGCGACUUUCUGGACCGUAACUGACGCUGAGGCAUGAAAGCGUGGGGAGCAAACA